UACGGAGGAUGCAAGCGUUAUCCGGAAUGAUUGGGCGUAAAGCGUCCGCAGGUGGCAGUUCAAGUCUGCUGUCAAAGACCGGGGCUUAACUUCGGAAAGGCAGUGGAAACUGAACAGCUAGAGUAUGGUAGGGGCAGAGGGAAUUCCUGGUGUAGGCGGUGAAAUGCGUUAGAGAUCGAGAGGAACACCUGCGGCGAAGGCGGGUUGCUGGGCCGACACUGACGCUGAUGCGCGAAAGCCAGGGGAGCGA
rnacentral:rRNA from 1 species